rnacentral:rRNA from 1 species
GAUGAACGCUGGCGGCGUGCUUAACACAUGCAAGUCGAACGAAGCACUUUAGUUGAUCCCUUCGGGGUGAUUCUAAAGUGACUUAGUGGCGGACGGGUGAGUAACGCGUGGGUAACCUGCCUUGUACAGGGGGAUAACAGUUAGAAAUGACUGCUAAUACCGCAUAACCCGCUAAGGUCGCAUGACCUAGACGGAAAAGAUUUAUCGGUACAAGAUGGACCCGCGUCUGAUUAGCUAGUUGGUGAGGUAACGGCUCACCAAGGCGACGAUCAGUAGCCGGCCUGAGAGGGUGACCGGCCACAUUGGGACUGAGACACGGCCCAAACUCCUACGGGAGGCAGCAGUGGGGAAUAUUGGGCAAUGGGGGAAACCCUGACCCAGCAACGCCGCGUGAAGGAAGAAGGCCUUC